AUUUACAGCCAUGCCACCUUGAACAAGCCCAAUCCCGUCUGAUCUCAGAAGCUAAGCAGGGUCAAGCCUGGUUAGUACUUGAAUGGGAGACCAUUUAGGAAGACCAGGUGCUGUAGAUG
rnacentral:rRNA from 1 species